AGAGCGAACGCUGGCGGCAGGCCUAACACAUGCAAGUCGAGCGCCCGUAGCAAUACGGGAGCGGCAGACGGGAUAGUAACACGUGGGAACGCGCCCUUCGGUUCGGAAUAACUCAGGGAAACUUGAGCUAAUACCGGAUACGCCCUUACGGGGAAAGAUUUAUUGCCGAAGGAACGGCCCGCGUCCGAUUAGCUAGUUGGUGAGGUAAUGGCUCACCAAGGCGACGAUCGGUAGCUGGUCUGAGAGGAUGACCAGCAUCACUGGGACUGAGACACGGCCCAGACUCCUACGGGAGGCAGCAGUGGGGAAUAUUGGACAAUGGGCGCAAGCCUGAUCCAGCCAUGACCGCGUGGAUGAUGAAGGCCUUAGGGUUGUAAAGUCCUUUAACGGGAAGAUAAUGACGGUACCGUAGAAUAAGCCCGGCUAACUUCGUGCCAGCAGCCGC
rnacentral:rRNA from 1 species